rnacentral:pre_miRNA from 1 species
UUCUCCAUUGAAAUAGUUACUAUGAUGUUGGCCCGGUUCAUUCAGAUACCACUAGCUAAGGCACAAAAGAAAAGAAAAAGUAAUCCUUAAGCCUUAGAUUUGUGUUUUCUGAUUGAGCCGUGCCAAUAUCUUAGUACUCUUUCAUUCUAUCUGCA